UACGAAGGGGGCUAGCGUUGUUCGGAUUUACUGGGCGUAAAGCGCACGUAGGCGGGUCGUUAAGUCAGGGGUGAAAUCCUGGAGCUCAACUCCAGAACUGCCUUUGAUACUGAGGAUCUUGAGUUCGGGAGAGGUGAGUGGAACUGCGAGUGUAGAGGUGAAAUUCGUAGAUAUUCGCAAGAACACCAGUGGCGAAGGCGGCUCACUGGCCCGAUACUGACGCUGAGGCACGAAAGCGUGGGGAGCAAACAGG
rnacentral:rRNA from 1 species